rnacentral:rRNA from 1 species
CCCUUAGAUGUCCGGGGCUGCACGCGCGCUACAAUGGUCGGAGCAGAAUGAAAAGAGACGGCUCCGCGAGGCGGGAGCGUCCUUCGGGGCCUCCCGUUCUUAAUGGUUGACCGUUCCCCGGGUCGACGGGCCCGGGAGAUCGGCUGGAAUCUCGAUCGUGAUCGGGACAGAGUCUUGUAAUUGUUACUCUCAAACGAGGAAUUCCUAGUAGGCGCGAGUCAUGACCUCGCGUCGACUGCGUCCCUGCCCUUUGUACACACCGCCCGUCGCUCCUACCGAUUGAAUGCUCAGGUGAGCCAUUCGGACUUUCAUCAUGCUGGUUUCCAGUUUUGAUGAAGGAAAGUCUUGCGAACCUUAUCAUUUAGAGGAAGGAGAAGUCGUAACA